rnacentral:lncRNA from 1 species
GUACCUUUACUUUCUAGAGUAGUAUCUUGAUAGGAUUAGCUCUAGGUUGCAAAACUCUUUAUGGGUGGGAAGUUUCACUAGAGGCUGAAAGUUGUCUAUCAGCGAGUAGCCUAAUAAGAUGGUUGAAAUCAAAAUGUUGAUUAAUAAACCCACAAUAUAAUAUCAUAUAUUUUUAAACCAAAAUCAACUUGCAUACUAUGCUUCUUUAAUAACUUCCACAAUUUCACUAGUGGGAAGUAGAACAUCCCGUCACCCUUCACUUGCACUCUGUAUGCUCAUCACCUAAGCUAAACCUUUAGGACCAAUCAACAAUCCUCACCAGGGGGUAUUUUCUUGUUUUUUUCUCGAAAUGAAACACCAGGGAGGUAAACUUGAUGCUAACUUGAAGUCUAUACUUUUCAGUACUACUUAAGUAAUUUUCGCAUUUAUAUCCCAUUCCACAACUUGGCGUUGAUCUGUGGAGUCUUCUCACAAGUUACCAUAUAAGAUGUGAGCAGCUGAAAUGCACUUGAAAUCUGUCU